GACGAACGCUGGCGGCGUGCCUAAUACAUGCAAGUCGAACGCAGUGGGGACAGGUGAGUAACACGUGGGUAACCUCCCAUCAGAGGGGAUAAAACUUGGAAACAGGUGCUAAACCGAUACGGGUGGAUGGACCCGCGGUGCAUUAGCUAGUUGGUGAGGUAACGGCUCACCAAGGCCACGAUGCAUAGCUGGUCUGAGAGGGUGAUCGGCCACACUGGGACUGAGACACGGCCCAGACUCCUACGGGAGGCAGCAGUAGGGAAUAUUCGGCAAUGGACGAAAGUCUGACCGAGCAACGCCGCGUGAGUGAAGAAGGUUUUCGGAUCGUAAAACACUGUUGUUAGAGAAGCGGUAUCUAACCAGAAAGCAACGGCUAACUACGUGCCAGCAGCCGCGGUAAUUC
rnacentral:rRNA from 1 species